rfam:Felis catus isolate Cinnamon breed Abyssinian chromosome D3, whole genome shotgun sequence.
GCCUGGCUGGCUCAGUCAGUGGAGCAUGGGACUCUUGAUCUCAGGGUUUUGAGUUUGAGCCCCAAGUUGGGUG